UACGUAGGGUGCAAGCGUUGUCCGGAAUUAUUGGGCGUAAAGAGCUCGUAGGCGGUCUGUUGCGUCGGCUGUGAAAACCCGGGGCUCAACUCCGGGCCUGCAGCCGAUACGGGCAGACUAGAGUUCGGCAGGGGAGACUGGAAUUCCUGGUGUAGCGGUGAAAUGCGCAGAUAUCAGGAGGAACACCGGUGGCGAAGGCGGUUCUCUGGGCCUGUACUGACGCUGAGGAACGAAAGCGUGGGGAGCGAACAGG
rnacentral:rRNA from 1 species